CGCCCGCAGCCCGCAGCCCGCACCGCCGCCCAUGGUGCUGCCCGGCCCGCCCGGCAUGGCCCGCUCCGAGGAGGUGCACCGCCUCACCGAGAAUGUCUACAAGACGAUCAUGGAGCAGUUCAAUCCCAGCCUCAGGAAUUUCAUUUCUAUGGGGAAGACCUAUGAAAAAGCCUUAGCAAGCAUGACAUACGCAGCAAAAGGGUACUUUGAUGCUCUGGUGAAGAUGGGAGAGCUGGCCAGCGAGAGCCAAGGAUCGAAGGAAUUGGGGGACGUGCUCUUCCAGAUGGCAGAGGUGCACAGGCAGAUCCAGAACCAGCUGGAGGAGAUGCUCAAGUCCUUCCACAACGAGCUCCUGACGCAGCUGGAGCAGAAGGUGGAGCUGGACUCGCGGUACCUGAGUGCUGCGCUGAAGAAAUACCAGACGGAGCAGAGGAGCAAGGGGGACUCCCUGGACAAGUGCCAGGCGGAGCUGAAGAAGCUCCGCAAGAAGAGCCAGGGCAGCAAGAACCCGCAGAAGUACUCGGACAAGGAGCUGCAGUACAUCGAAGCCAUCAGCAACAAGCAAGGGGAGCUGGAAAACUACGUCUCGGAUGGCUACAAGACAGCUCUGACAGAAGAGAGGAGACGGUUCUGCUUCCUGGUAGAGAAACAGUGCGCGGUGGCCAAGAGCGCCAUCACCUACCACGCCAAGGGGAAGGAGAUGCUGACGCAGAAGCUGCCGCUGUGGCAGCAAUCCUGCUCGGAUCCCAACAAGAUCCCGGACCGCGCCAUACAGCUGAUGCAGCAGAUGGCUGCCAGCAGCAAUGGCACCAUAAUGCCCAGCCCUCUGUCCACAUCCAAGUCCAACCUCAUCAUCUCUGACCCCAUCCCUGGUGCCAAACCUCUCCCUGUCCCCCCGGAGCUGGCACCUUUUGUGGGACGCAUGUCGGCGCAGGAGGCCAUGCCAGUGAUGAACGGAGUCUCGAGCUCUGACAGCGACGGGUACAACCACUGGUCUGAGAUGAAGCCAGCACAGCCCAAAUCUUUAUCUCCUCCCCAGCCUCAGAAGCAGCUGAGUGACUCUUACUCCAAUACACUCCCAGUUCGCAAAAACGUGCCACCGAAAAACAGCUACGCCUCAGCUGAAAACAAGACACUGCCACGCUCCAGCUCCAUGGCCGCCGGGCUCGAGAGGAACGGCCGGACGAGGGUGCAGGCGAUUUUCUCGCACGCUGCCGGGGAUAACAGCACCCUCCUGAGCUUCAAGGAGGGGGACCUCAUCACACUGCUGGUGCCCGAGGCCCGAGACGGCUGGCACUACGGAGAGAGCGAGAAAACCAAAAUGAGGGGCUGGUUUCCUUUCUCCUACACACGGGUCCUUGACAACGAUGGCAGCGAGCGCGUCCACACCAGCCUGCAGCAAGGGAAGAGCAGCAGCACUGGCAACCUGCUGGACAAGGACGACAUCUCCAUCCCGCCGCCGGACUAUGGCAUGGCCUCCCAGGCCUUCCCGGCGCAGGGCGGCAACACCUUCAAGCAGCGGCCGUACAGCGUGGCCGUGCCCGCCUUCUCCCAGGGUCUCGAUGACUACGGGACGAGGUCGGUCAGCAGCGGCAGUGGCAGUUUGGUAUCAACGGUGUGAGGACACCUGGGCUCGCAGCGGCCCCUUGCUGCUUGGAAGAGCUUUCUGCUUCUUUCCCCCCACUUUUUUUUCCCCCCCCUUCCUUUUCGUUUCUCUUUUCUCUACUUCUUUUGGAUUUGAAACUCUUGUGAUCUUCAAGGAAACCAUGGUGCUUCUCACCCCUCCCCGGUGUUCACAGUGCCCUUGUUUCUGAAGCCUUUUCGGAGCACAAACUGCCGCCAGGUCCGUGCUCGCGGCCCGGGCGCAGCUGUCACUUAGUGGGACCCGGUGUUUGUCCUCCCGUGUGAUGUUAGCGAUGCACUGUCCCCCCCCAGGGGCCGCGCCGGCCGCCCCGCACGAGCCUGGACCAAACUCCCAGACUGGAUCACGUAUGCAUGGCCUCUGGUGUCCGUACUGUUACCGAGCAUCCGGGAUGCCCGCGCCCGGGAUGCCGCUCCCCGAGGGGCGGCGGCGGCCCCGCGCCUCCCCCUCGGCCCGAUCCGCUUCCGUCCCACCGCGCUGGCUUUGGGAGAAGCGGAUGGCACAGAGCCCCCGCCCCGGGGAAAGGGCUGCUUCUGGGCCGGGGUCCCGCCGGCCCUGGGAACCCCCCUCCCGCCCCCGCGAGGGUCACUCCUGGUUGUUUUAUAAAUAUAUAUAUAUAUAUUUUUUGUAGCAAGGUAUUGUUACCUCACGUUAGGGCUGGGGCUCCGAGGACUGCUCGCGUCCCCAAGGCAGGCUGGAGCGAGGCAGCCCCGGCGCUCGGCAGUGCCCGGGGGGCUCCCAGCCCGCGCUGGGGGUCCCGCUCCCGCACUAGCCCGGCCGUAGCCCUCCCAGUGCCCGUGGCCGUCUCCACUGCAAAGCCGUUCACGCUUUUUUUUUUUCCUGAUGUGAUUUUUAAGACCUCUGACAUUGCCUGUUUACUGGGACAUUGCUGGCAAUAGACACCCCCUCCCCCCGGACCAGUUUUUGGGUUUUCUCCUCGCCCACGGGCACGCUGUUCUGAGCCCCUCCUGCAUCGAUGUCUGAAUUUUGCUAAGGAUUUUUAACCCAGCAUAUUUCACGAUGAAUGACUGAAUGUAGAGGGGGAAAAAAAAAAACAAAACAAAAACAAAACAAAACAGAAACAAAAACCAACACAAACCCAGCCUAGCAAAGCCUGUGUGGAGAUUGUAAAGUGCUGAAAAACCUUUUUUUAAAAGCCAGAGAGAAUUGUGCCCUGUACUGAGUUAAUUGUUUGAAUAAAAGUUUUAUUUAUUGCAUUGAGCUGGGCCUCGGUGUCUUUUUCGGCUGCCGUGCCUGCGUGCUGCCCUCACCGCCCGCAUCGCCCACCGCGCAUUCCCGGGCCGUGUUUUUGUUCCCUGCUGGAGCCCGCGGCACUAAACAGCUUCGCCCAGCAGGAGCGGCGACAGCUGCUUUAGAGCCGGGUCCCCUCUCCCUCUGAGCAUCUGAGGGGGUGAUGCCGCCGCUGCUCCCGCAUGCCAAGGCUCCGGCCGCGCUUUCCCGGCGGUGGGAAAGCGCCGAUGGCCGGCUGGGGGGGAAGGAAGCCGCCCCCUCCCUUCCGCAGCCCCCGCCGUGCCCGGCCGCUGCGCUCCCACAGCUCCCGGCUGGCCGUGCCCUUCCUUCCCCUCCUCACAGCGACUCCACGAACGCCACUUUUCCUCCUUUCUCUUCUUUUUUUCCUCCUGUUUCCUCCUCCCGCCGGCGCCAGGGUCGGCCAGCGGGCUCUGGGGCCGGGUGGCCGCCGGCUGGCGGCCUUAAAAUCUCUCCUUAACCACGACCUUCUGUUCCCAUCAAGCGUCCCGGCGUGCUCCAACCUGCCUUCUGUUUCCCUUGCAGCCCCGAUGUUGAAGUGGCCAGGUUUUGAGGUGCCCCUGCCCGUAGUUAGAACCCCUUUGCCAACGUCCAGCUGAAGCCGACGGUGACGAACGAUCGCUCAGCUCCGCUCAUCAGCUGAUCCGGGAGCGCUGGCGCCCGCCUGGCACUCGCCACCUCCUCCUCAUCCUCCUCCUCCUCCUCGCCGCUGCAUGUCCAGCUUCCCAGGACUCCGUUUUUAGGCGGAAUUUAUUAAUCCUGCUGCUUUGAAAGCCAAAGGCUCAAGCUAGUGCCCUAUUCUCUCUUCUCUAGACUCCCUGGGUGGCAGAGGGUCACGGCGCUGCCACGUCACCUGUCCUUUGCCCCUGCUAACGCUGGCACUUCCCGGAGCCAGAGCAGCACGUCCCAGAGCCGGGGUGGCUCCCAGGCCCAGCAGCAGCUGGCUGUGGGUGGAGAGGCGGGCUCAGCUGGAGAGCAACUCUCCGUGAGCUCACGGUGCUCCGGCGGGGCAGCAAUGGCAGAGAGGACGCGGUCCCCCUGCUCUCCCUGCCCAGACGGGAGGGACCCCCGGGCCAGGCAGGACACACGGACACACACGGACACCUCGGGCAAGCCAAGGGAUGGUGGGAGCCAUCAGCAGCUCCCACCAGACCCCGGGUGCCCGCCCCGUGCUCCGGGCUGGGACAGGGCAGGGGGUGCCAGCACCGCAGCCCCCGCUGGGACGGGGCCAGCUCCUGUCCCAGGGCUCGGGAUAUUGUAGGGAAUUACGGUACUGCUGUAAGAUAUAAGCUAGGAAAAAAACCACUCGUGGAGGCGAGGGCAGUGUGUGAGUGAGCCUCGGGGUGCCCCUGCUCCCUGCUGGCAGGAGCUCCCAUCCGGACCUCUUGCUUGGCUGUUUGCUCUUCCUCUGUUCCUAGGGCUGCAUGAGAGAGAGAGAGAGAGAUAGAUAGAGAUAAACAUGCAUAAAUAUAUAUAUACACACUUGCUAAGCUUAUUGCUGGGGGUGCCCACGGGCGAGGCGGCUCCCGCAGCUCCCCAGUGACCAGGGUCACACCGUUGCUCCAAAAACAGGCACAAGAGGCUUUCCGGGCGGGAACCGCGGCUCCCGUGGGUGCGGGCUUCAACCCGAACUGAGUUUGCGCUUUUUUCCGCUGCAUUUCUCCUUCUGCACUUUCUGAUCACUGGUGCAGCACGUCCUGGUCCCCACAGCCCGGGCAGUGGGUGCUUGGCCGGGCACUUGGGUGGGCACAGAGUGUCCCCAGCCCAGGGGGGCUCGGUCCCUGUCGGAUGCGGUGGCUCCUCUCGCCCGUGUCCUCUCUGAUGGGUUUUCCAGCUCCUCUGCAGGAAAACAGCCUCUCCCGCGCCCGCCCAGGCUCCGGCUCUGCACCAGGCUUCUCUGCUCUGUGAUGUGCCUCCUCUUCCUCUCCCGGGGCUGGAGCAGAUGGGUGGGGGCCAGACGGGGCAGGGGGUGGCAAAGGGCUCUGCUGCGGGCAGGGCAGCGGGUGGCAGAGGGUUGGUGGUCACAGCCCAGGUGGAGACAGGCCCGGGGUCCCCUUGGCCACCGCGGUGUCCUCUUCCACCCUCGUGCCAGGGGCAGUUCCCCGGGCCCCCCCCAGGCUGCCACCCUCGCUCCAGCCAGCCCCCGGGGGCUUCGCUGCACCUCCUGGCUCGGUGGCACCUGUAAGAUGUAACCUGAAAU